rnacentral:rRNA from 1 species
CCAGACUCCUACGGGAGGCAGCAGUGAGGAAUAUUGGUCAAUGGGCGAGAGCCUGAACCAGCCAAGUCGCGUGAAGGAUGACGGCCCUACGGGUUGUAAACUUCUUUUGUCAGGGAGCAAUUGGGUCCACGCGUGGGCUUAGCGAGAGUACCUGAAGAAAAAGCAUCGGCUAACUCCGUGCCAGCAGCCGCGGUAAUACGGAGGAUUCAAGCGUUAUCCGGAUUUAUUGGGUUUAAAGGGUGCGUAGGCGGUUUGAUAAGUUGGAGGUGAAAUGUUAGGGCUUAACCCUGAAACUGCCUCCAAUACUGUUGGACUAGAGAGUAGGUGCGGUAGGCGGAAUGUAUGGUGUAGCGGUGAAAUACUUAGAGAUCAUACAGAACGCCGAUUGCGAAGGCAGCUUACCAAACUAUAUCUGACGUUGAGGCACGAAAGCGUGGGGAGCAAACAGGAUUAGAUACCCCUGUA